rnacentral:rRNA from 1 species
UGAUCCUGGCUCAGAUUGAACGCUGGCGGCAGGCCUAACACAUGCAAGUCGAACGGUAACAGGAUAGCUUGCUAUCGCUGACGAGUGGCGGACGGGUGAGUAAUACUUAGGGAUCUGCCUCUGUGUGGGGGAUAACUAUUGGAAACGAUAGCUAAUACCGCAUAAUGUCUACGGACCAAAGCGGGCUUCGGCUCGUGCGCAGAGAGGAACCUAAGCGAGAUUAGCUAGUUGGUGAGGUAAAGGCUCACCAAGGCGACGAUCUCUAGCUGUUCUGAGAGGAAGAUCAGCCACACUGGAACUGAGACACGGUCCAGACUCCUACGGGAGGCAGCAGUGGGGAAUAUUGCACAAUGGGGGAAACCCUGAUGCAGCCAUGCCGCGUGUGUGAAGAAGGCCUUCGGGUUGUAAAGCACUUUCAGUUGUGAGGAAAGUUUAGUAGUUAAUACCUGCUAGAUGUGACGUUAGCAACAGAAGAAGCACCGGCUAACUCCGUGCCAGCAGCCGCGGUAAUACGGAGGGUGCGAGCGUUAAUCGGAAUUACUGGGCGUAAAGCGCACGCAGGCGGUCUGUUAAGCUAGAUGUGAAAGCCCCGCGCUCAACGUGGGAGGGUCAUUUAGAACUGGCAGACUAGAGUCUUGGAGAGGGGAGUGGAAUUCCAGGUGCAGCGGUGAAAUGCGUAGAGAUCUGGAGGAACAUCAAUGGCGAAGGCAACUCCCUGGCCAAAGACUGACGCUCAUGUGCGAAAGUGUGGGUAGCGAACAGGAUUAGAUACCCUGGUAGU